rnacentral:rRNA from 1 species
GAUGAACGCUGGCGGCGUGCCUAAUACAUGCAAGUCGAGCGAACAGACGAGGAGCUUGCUCCUCUGACGUUAGCGGCGGACGGGUGAGUAACACGUGGAUAACCUACCUAUAAGACUGGGAUAACUUCGGGAAACCGGAGCUAAUACCGGAUAAUAUAUUGAACCGCAUGGUUCAAUAGUGAAAGACGGUUUUGCUGUCACUUAUAGAUGGAUCCGCGCCGCAUUAGCUAGUUGGUAAGGUAACGGCUUACCAAGGCGACGAUGCGUAGCCGACCUGAGAGGGUGGUCGGCCACACUGGAACUGGGACACGGUCCAGACGCCUACGGGAGGCAGCAGUAGGGAAUCUUCCGCAGUGGGCGAGAGCUUGACGGAGCAACGCCGCGUGAGUGAUGAAGGUCUUCGGAUCGUAAAACUCUGUUAUUAGGGAAGAACAAAUGUGUAAGUAACUAUGCACGUCUUGACGGUACCUAAUCAGAAAGCCACGGCUAACUACGUG